UACGUAGGUGGCAAGCGUUGUCCGGAUUUACUGGGCGUAAAGGAUGCGUAGGCGGAUUUUUAAGUGAGAUGUGAAAUCCCUAAGCUUAACUUAGGUGCUGCAUUUCAAACUGGAAAUCUAGAGUGCGGGAGAGGAAAGUGGAAUUCCUAGUGUAGCGGUGAAAUGCGUAGAGAUUAGGAAGAACACCAGUGGCGAAGGCGACUUUCUGGACCGUAACUGACGCUGAGGCAUGAAAGCGUGGGUAGCAAAC
rnacentral:rRNA from 1 species